rnacentral:misc_RNA from 1 species
AUAGAACCUAGAAUUACUAAACAAAAUACUAAAAUGAGACAAUCGGUGACUGCAGAAGAACGAUUACUUGCUACGCUGAGAUAUUUAGCUACGGGUAGAACAUAUGCAGACAUGAAAUUUAGUUGUGCAAUAUCACCUCAACUUUUAGGGAAAAUUAUACCGGAGACAUGUAGAGAAUUGUUUAAGGCAUUAAAAAGAGAAUUUAUUAAGUUUCUGGCAAAAAUGGAUUCGCCUCAACCUGGCCCAUCAAACUGGGAUCCCUU